UCUCAUUCUGAAUCUACAUCUCCCCUUCACCUCCUUCAACCUUCCACACCACCAUCAACACCACCACUACCAACAUUCGACACCACCCACCACCACUAGAACUAACAGUUCACUAUCUUCACCUCAUUUCUCAAUUGAUUAAAACACCACUGCUACUUCCAAUUUCUUCUUCUUCUUUCUACCCCUGUUCUCCAUCGAUUAAACCACCACCAUCGCCACUACUACCAACUGCUAAACCACUCUUCAUCCUCAUCUUUAUCCUCAUUAAUUUCCCAACAUGGACUUAGAAUAAUCUUAAUCUUUACUUAAUUUCGAUUUUACGGUUCAUAGUUUUGAUUUGAUUGAAUCACUUCAGAAACUGUAACUCUAAAUUGGAAAUUGGGUGAAUAGAUUAAAUCACUACAGAAUUGGGUGAAGUAUCCUCAACAAAUACUUCAAUAUUGGUUUGGUAUCACUCUCAUCUUCUUCACUUCAGGUGAAUACCAUUGUUGGACUGCAUUAACUUCUUCUAUUACCAUUGUGGAUGGAUUCAUAGAGUUGUCAUCCACGUCGAAGUCCGAGACUUACUGAUCUAGCUCGAGUUCAAGAGCUAAUGGAGACUGAUGCUGAAAAAGAAAGGAAGCUGCAUCGUGCUCAGUAUAGGGCAAAACUAGAUACAACUACGGAAGGCGAAAGACAUGAGCGGAAUAAACGAUGUCGUGCUGCUUAUCAUGCAAGAAUUAGUGCAGCAAAUCGCCGACCAGAUGACCAUGAAGCCAGUUCAGGUGUACAAGUUGCUAAUUCAGCUGGGGGGGAUAAAGCAGAAUCAAGUUUCAUUCCCCGCCGAAGCCCAAGAAUAGAGCUGUAACAAAAAGAGCUCCAAUUAGAGAAGCUUCGUAUUGCAAAAAGGGAUAGGCGAAAUUCACUGACUGAAGAUCAAAAAGAAGAGAUCCUUGAAAAACGCCGUAGAGCCUACGAAAUACUAAGAGCAAGAGUGCGUGAGGAAACUAACAAUGAGCACAGAGCUGGACCAAGUAGUGCUUCUUGAGAAGGGAUAUUGGGUUCUCUUCUAGCAAUUCCAGAUAAGUUGCAUUCAGAUUUCAGAGUACGCGAAAUUAGUAGACCAAAUUG